rnacentral:lncRNA from 1 species
GUUGCCAGGGUAACCUCCCCCAGCCAAUCAGCAGUCAUGGAUGAGAUGGAUCUACCCCAGAUGAAGAAGGAAGUGGAGAGCCUGAAAUACCAACUGGCCUUCAAGAGAGAGAAGUCUUCCAAGACAGUCACUGACAUGGUGAAGUGGAUCGAGGACGGCGUACCCGAGGACCCCUUCCUGAACCCUGAACUCAUGAAGAACAACCCCUGGGUGGAGAAGGGAAAGUGUGUCCUGUUGUAGACUGAUUACCGACCCCUGACCCUGCCGUGACCUCUGACCCCAGCCUGAUGGGGCAUGGCAGGACAGCACCCCCCCCUGCUAGUUUCAGCCACGUUGAUGCAUCACAGAUUACCUUUAAUUCUAUGUUGAUAUGAUAUGAAGUGUAUUUAUGCAGCCAGUCACUCACUCACUCAGUCAGCCAGUCACUCACUCACUCAGUCAGCCAGUCACUCACUCAGUCACUCACUCAGUCAUCCAGUCACUCACUCAGUCAGCCAGUCAGCCAGUCACUCAGUCAUCCAGUCACUCACUCACUCAGCCAGUCAGUUAUUCAGCCAGCCAGUCAGUUAGUCAGUCAGCCAGUCAGUCAGUCAGCCAGUCAGUUAGUCAGCCAGUCAGUCAGCCAGCCAGCUAGUCAGCCAGCCAGUCAGUCAGCCAGUCAGCCAGCCAGUCAGUCAGCCAGUCAGUCAGCCAGCCAGUCAGCCAGUCAUCCAGUCACUCACUCAGUCAGCCAGUCAGCCAGUCACUCAGUCAUCCAGUCACUCACUCACUCAGCCAGUCAGUUAUUCAGCCAGCCAGUCAGUUAGUCAGUCAGCCAGUCAGUCAGUCAGCCAGUCAGUCAGUCAGCCAGCCAGCUAGUCAGCCAGCCAGUCAGUCAGCCAGUCAGCCAGCCAGUCAGUCAGCCAGUCAGCCAGCCAGUCAGCCAGUCAGUCAGUCAGCCAGUCAGUCAGCCAGUCAGUCAGCCAGCCAGCCAGUCAGCGCAACACGGACGGGAACGGACACGGAAACACACACACACACACACACACACACACACACACACACACACACACACACACACACACACACACACUGUACAGACGAGCCCCUUUAACUUGUUAUUAAAUUAUUGAUUGUGUUUUUUUUGUUUUAUUUAUGUAUUUAUUGAUAAGCUCCUCCGCACGGCGGCCAUGUUGUGUUGUCUAUCUCCGCCCCACGCUCCCAACAACAACAACUGUACUGGCCAGGGAUAUACCAUACACCAUCGCUCUGGCCCCAACGUACGUGUGUGUGUGUGUGUGUGUGUGUGUGUGUGUGUGUGUGUGUGUGUAGCGUGUGUGUGUGUGUGUGUGUGUGUGUGCAGUGCUUAAUUUGAUCCCGUCACCUCUCCGUUUUGAACCGUUUUGUUUCCGGAAUCUAUUUGAUUGGAUCCAGAACCUCUCGUGACAUGAAAAAUAAUUUCCACUUCUUUGCAAUCAAAAAUAAUAAUAAUAAUUAAAAGUUGUCUCUUCAUUACCUCUCCUGCCCCUAAAGAAAACCGUAAUGUGAAAAAGCAGAUUUUCAGUCCGCGGUUUAAUAUUCUACGAGUUGAUUUGGGUUGAGACCAGACCAGGUUCUUACGUAACAUUUUAUAAUCUAUAUUUGAGACCGACUCGCGACGGUAAGUUAGAAGUGUAGAAAUGCGUCAUACUAGAACUAGAUUCUCUUCUCUAUGAAUCUAUGCUGUAAGCUGCCCCCCCCAAAAAAAAAAUAUUGAAUCAACUUCUAAAUAUUGUUUUACAAAAAAAAAUUCAAAAUAGAGAGUCAGAGAUGGAGAUAAGGCUUAUGGAAGGAGCGCGGUCGUCGACAAUCACCAGCGAGUCACUUGUGUUUCAGUGAAACUGGAAAGCAUUUUUUGUUUUUGGUGGCGAUAAUUUCCUCGUAUUGUAGCCUAUAAUAUGUGUCUCCACACACCGAGGCCUCAGGUUAUUGAUGAAUUCAAAACAAGGCCGUUUUUUAAAAAUAUAUUGAUCUCUAAUUCUCUAGUUUUGUCAGUGUCAAAGUAGACUGUCGUUUUUUUUGAUCAUUUGGUAUUAAAGAAUAUUCUGACCAAAGUCUCCAGUCGUGUAAAAAAACGACGUAGAAUCGCAUUUAAUGCGUUUUUAAAGGGACAACAUUUCCCCCCGGACCCUAGGAUACUGAAAAUGUUCCCCGGACCCUAGGAUACUGAAAAUGUCCCCCCGGACCCUAGGAUACUGAAAAUGUUCCCCGGACCCUAGGAUACUGAAAAUGUUCCCCGGACCCUAGGAUACUGAAAAUGUUCCCCGGACCCUAGGAUACUGAAAAUGUUCCCCGGACCCUAGGAUACUGAAAAUGUUCCCCGGACCCUAGGAUACUGAAAAUGUUCCCCGGACCCUAGGAUACUGAAAAUGUUCCCCGGACCCUAGGAUACUGAAAAUGUUCACUGGACCCUAGGAUACUGAAAAUGUUCCCCGAACCCUAGACUACUGAAAAUGUUCCCCGGACCCUAGGAUACUGAAAAUGUUCCCCGGACCCUAGGAUACUGAAAAUGUUCCCCGGACCCUAGGAUACUGAAAAUGUUCACUGGACCCUAGGAUACUGAAAAUGUUCCCCGAACCCUAGACUACUGAAAAUGUUCCCUGGACCCUAGGAUACUGAAAAUGUUCCCCGGACCCUAGGAUACUGAAAAUGUUCACUGGACCCUAGGAUACUGAAAAUGUUCCCCGAACCCUAGACUACUGAAAAUGUUCCCUGGACCCUAGGAUACUGAAAAUGUUCCCAGGACCCUAGGAUACUGAAAAUGUUCCCCGGACCCUAGGCUUCUGAAAAUGUCCCCCUGGACCCUAGACUACUGAAAAUGUUCCCUGGACCCUAGGAUACUGAAAAUGUUCCCAGGACCCUAGACUACUGAAAAUGUUCCCCGGACCCUAGGCUACUGAAAAUGUUCCCCGAACCCUAGACUACUGAAAAUGUUCCCAGGACCCUAGGCUACUGAAAAUGUCCCCAGACCCUAGGGUACUGAAAAUGUUCCCUGGACCCUAGGCUAAUGAAAAUGUUCCCCCGAACCCUAGGCUACUGAAAAUGUUCCCCGAACCCAAGGCUACUGAAAAUGUUCCCCUGGACCCUAGGCUACUGAAAAUGUUCCCUGGACCCUAGGCUACUGAAAAUGUUCCCCGAACCCUAGGCUACUGAAAAUGUUACCCGACCCUAGGCUACUGAAAACGUUCCUCAUGUGUGCACCUUGUGUAGGUGCCUCUACUAUACGAUUUGAUUUGAUUUGAUAUACUGCUCUAUGCCGCUACGCUAAUGUGAGGAUAUGAAUGCUUUAUUAUAAAAUUAGAAUUUUCUUUUUUUCACCUCCCGAUUUACAAAUUAAGCACUGUGUGUGUGUUUGUGUGUGUGUGUGUGUGUGUGUGUGUGUGUGUGUGUGUGUGUGUGUGUGUGUGUGUGUGUGUGUGUGUGUGUGUGUGUGUGUGUGUGUGUGUUAGUAUGGAUGAAAGGUAGAUGGUCCUUGAAGAUCUUUAGUGUUUAGGAAAUACUUCAUGCUAUGAAAAAAAGGGUGAAAGGUUUGGGCGGAAUAGAAGCAUCGGUCGUCUAUUAUUUACGUUACUAUGACAACGGUGGACCGGACCGGGUCUGUCUAUGUACCCAUUUGUUUGAAUUACCACAGCUAGAACCCGUGGAACCGUCUAGACGUGCCACAGCUAGAACCCGUGGGAACCGUCUAGACGUGCCACAGCUAGAACCCGUGGGAACCGUCUAGACGUGCCACAGCUAGAACCCGUGGAACCGUCUAGACGUGUCACAGCUAGAACCCGUGGGAACCGUCUAGACGUGCCGCAGAUAGAACCCGUGGAACCGUCUAGACGUGCCGCAGCUAGAACCCGUGGAACCGUCUAGACGUGCCGCAGAUAGAACCCGUAGAACAGUCUAGACGUGCCGCAGAUAGAACCCGUGGAACCGUCUAGACGUGGCCCGUUUCCUUGUGAUGAGAUCUGCUUUUGUAAAAAUGAUUAUGAUGCAUCUGAUCCUCUGUUACUUUAAAUGACGACGAGCAAUAAAGUUGGUGUCCUUUUGUGUAUAUAUAUAUAUAUAUAUAUAUAUAUAUUGCAUGUUUUACUAAUAAACGUUGAUCUUAGUCAAUAAAAAAGGGUUUUUAAGACA